rnacentral:sRNA from 1 species
AGGAAAGGGCACAGGACCAACCUCUGGUCCCAAAGCCUGACUCCUUCAUAACUCAUACCUCGUCUCCCAGCCAGGUUUCUGAAUCUCAUUCACCAUGCUGCCCAGGGACCAAGGAAGAAGUACCCAGAGACACAGACUGAAAACCAGGAAGUUGGAUGGGACUUAGAGCCCUUGAUCAACCCAGAACGCCAUGACCGCAGGCUGAAUCACUUCAGGGUCUGCAGUGACAUCACUCUGUACAAGGCUAAAACGUGGGGCUUAGGAGAUGAUCACCACAAGUAGCAUCCCAGCAGAUGAGCCUAUCUGUGGAUCUAAUGCCCUAAGUGUGCACAGCCCAGAGAAAUAAAAUACUACUUUAAAACGAA